rnacentral:rRNA from 1 species
GCAUUAUACCGUGAAACUGCGAAUGGCUCAUUAAAUCAGUUAUCGUUUAUUUGAUAGUACCUUACUACUUGGAUAACCGUGGUAAUUCUAGAGCUAAUACAUGCUGAAAACCCCAACUUCGGGAGGGGUGUAUAUAUUAGAUAAAAAACCAACGCCCUUCGGGGCUUCUUGGUGAUUCAUGAUAUCUUUACGGAUCGCAUGGCCUUGCGCCGGCGACGGUUCAUUCAAAUUUCUGCCCUAUCAACUUUCGAUGGUAAGGUAUUGGCUUACCAUGGUUUCAACGGGUAACGGGGAAUUAGGGUUCGAUUCCGGAGAGGGAGCCUGAGAAACGGCUACCACAUCCAAGGAAGGCAGCAGGCGCGCAAAUUACCCAAUCCCGACACGGGGAGGUAGUGACAAUAAAUACUGAUACAGGGCUCUUUUGGGUCUUGUAAUUGGAAUGAGUACAAUUUAAACCUCUUAACGAGGAACAAUUGGAGGGCAAGUCUGGUGCCAGCAGCCGCGGUAAUUCCAGCUCCAAUAGCGUAUAUUAAAGUUGUUGCAGUUAAAAAGCUCGUAGUUGAACCUUGGGUCUGGCUGGCAGGUCCGCCUCACCGCGUGUACUUGUCCGGCCGGGCCUUCCUUCUGGAGAACCUCAUGCCCUUCACUGGGCGUGUUGGGGACCAGGACUUUUACUUUGAAAAAAUUAGAGUGUUCAAAGCAGGCCUUUGCUCGAAUACGUUAGCAUGGAAUAAUAGAAUAGGACGUGCGGUCCUAUUUUGUUGGUUUCUAGGACCGCCGUAAUGAUUAAUAGGGACAGUCGGGGGCAUCAGUAUUCAAUUGUCAGAGGUGAAAUUCUUGGAUUUAUUGAAGACUAACUACUGCGAAAGCAUUUGCCAAGGAUGUUUUCAUUAAUCAGUGAACGA